AACGAACGCUGGCGGCAGGCCUCAAACAUGCAAGUCUAGGGGGUGUAGCAAUACAUCACCGGCGGACGGGUGCGUAACGCGUGGGAAUAUACCUAUUGGUUCGGAACAACACAGGGAAACUUGUGCUAAUACCGAAUGUGCCCUUACGGGAAGAUUAUCGCCAAUGGAUUAGCCCGCGUCCGAUUAGCUAGUUGGUGAGGUAACGGCUCACCAAGGCUCCGAUCGGUAGCUGUUCUGAGAGGAAGAUCAGCCACACUGGGACUGAGACACGGCCCAGACUCCUACGGGAGGCAGCAGUUGGGAAUCUUGGACAAUGGGGGGAAACCCUGAUCCAGCCAUGCCGCGUGAGUGAUGAAGGCCUUCGGUUGUAAAACUCUUUCGACGGGGACGGAUAAUGACGGUACCCGUAGAAGAAGCUCCGGCUAACUUCGUGCCAGCAGCCGC
rnacentral:rRNA from 1 species